rnacentral:lncRNA from 1 species
ACAAGAGUGCACACACUGAAAUGUCUCGCCUUCUUUACUAAUCAUUGAUAGUAUGUUGAUAGUCCUAAAUAUAAAACUUUAUUACAACUGUCACAUAAACUUCACAUUAACCAAGAAAGCCAAACAUUGACCAAUAAACCAUGAAAUUAAGGUAAAAGUCAGAUGAACCAUUUCAGAAAGACAUGUACAGCUAACAAUUCUUUCAUACAACAAAUAUAGUUGACCUACUGCUUAUAGUUUAAGAAAAACAGACCAAAACAUUAAAACUUAACACUGAGCAAUGAACCGUGAAAAUGAGGUCAAGGUCAAAUAAAACCUGCACAACUAAUAUAUAGAUCAUAAAAUAUUUCCAUACACCAAAUAUAGUUAACAUAUUGCAUAUAGUAUUAGAAAAAAGACCAAAACUCAAAAAUUUAACUUUGACCACUGAACCAUGAAAAUGAGGUCAAAGUCAGAUGACACCUGCCAGCUAGAAACAUGUACACCUUACAAUCCUUCAUACACCAAAUAUAGAAGACCAUUGCAUAUAGUAUUAAGAAAAACAGACCAAAACACAAAACUUAACAAUAACCACUGAACAUGAAAAUGAGGUCAAGGUCAGAUGACACCUGCCAGCUAGACAUGUACACCUUACAAUCCUUCCAUACACCAAAUAUAGAAGACCUAUUGCAUAUAGUAUAAGAAAAACAGGCCAAAACACAAAAACUUAACAAUAACCACUGAACCAUGAAAAUGAGGUCAAGGUCAGAUGACACCUGCCGGCUG